GUGGGAUGGGGUGAGGACUUCUCCCCAAGCAGCUGGGGGUGGCAACUAGUGUAAAGUAGAUGUCUGCAGAGAGAGUGGGGUGGCAGGAAGUCCCGUAGGGGGAUGGGAAGCUGAGCAGCAGAUGGACACUGCUUCCAGUCCAUUGAUCACCACAUUCCCGAUGGGAGCCAUAUUCCUCCCGGUGGGAGAAGGUGUCGCAACCAUGAAAACCUAGAAUGAGCCUGUGGUUCUGAUAAGGAUUUCAGUUGUUGCUGUGUAUCCAUGGGGGGAAGAAUUGAUAGAUGGACAUCUGGAUAGACACAUAUAAAAUCAUAGAUACACAUAGACAUAUUUCUUUUCCUUAUCCCCGAGUAGGCUACCGACUGACAUUUCAAUCAAAACAGGUAUAUAUGGGGUUCAGAUAUCAAGUUGUGAAGUGACACUCUAUAGAUGAAGAAGGGUAAGGCGUUUCUUUGGAAAAGUAGCUGACUUUAGAUGCGACACAAGGAAAGCACCGGCCAAGUCAGGAGCACUUUGCUUAUCAGAAAGUAAAAUUAUCAAAGCAUCAGGAGGCCGUAGACACAGAAGCCACCCCGAAAGGUUUCUCCCUCACCAAAUUGCAGACAAUUCCGAAAGAUCAAAAUAAAUCGUGAGCGGAUCUUAACCCAUCUACACAAAAUGCUGGGUAACGGGGUUUCCCCUUACAGCAGCCCAACAGCCAAUGAGCAUAAAAGGAGCAAGAACGUCCAAGGUUACGUCACCACUCGCAAUAACCAGAGCGGUGGUUAAGACAGCUAAUAAACACCAACUGAUGGCAAAAUUUCAGGGCAACUGCAAACCUGGUGGAUCUGAGGAGGCAGUGAGGGGCGUGAAAGUCCCUCCCGGUGUUCCUACCAAACCACGCACUCUAACCUAAUCACCGCUCCACGAGACAAGCCAGCGUGAGGACGAGUUUAUAAAAGAAUCGAGCUUUAAUUUUCAAAACUGAAAGAGAGGGGAACUCAAGAAAGAAGGAACUCAAGAGAGGGGAUUUCGGACAGGAAGGACAAUAAACAGGACAGGUAAGACCCAGGACAGGAUCUUUGUGCUCUAAAGGGCUGUAUGGGUGAAGCGAGGCUCACCGAGGUCUGCUGAUACCAUGGUGGCAUAGCAGCUUCCUAAUUACGUGUGUGGUCACGUAAUUAGUGUUUAAUUAGUAAUUAAGUGUCUUUGUAGGGAUGCACACCGCCGUGUUUAAAGUGAGCAGGCAUUCUAUAAGCAAUUAACUCUUAAAUGACUAUGGGAAACAAAGCUUUUUACUCUUGCAGUUAUUCUGUCAGUUCAAAAUUAUUUUAAAUCUUAAAAUGUGAUUAAAAAAAAAAACCAACCAAUCAGAACGACUGUUUUAAGUAAACCGAUAUACUCAGUAGUUGAAUAUUAAGGAAUUUACCUAAUGGCGUUUUAGGAAACCAUGCAAUGUAUGGAUGAUGUUCACAAGGUAUAGUUAAAUGUGUGUGUGUAAUAUAUAUAUACAUAUAUGUAUAUAUAUAACAUAUAUAUGUUAUAACUGUAAUGUUCGUAACAUCUUGAAGGUGACCAGCUCACAUCCUAAGAAGUCUCCUUGCCUCUAACUUAGCAGCACUUAAGUCCACGGAACACUUAGUACUUAGGGGGUUUCUUUCAAAUGUGAAGAUUUAAAUUACGUGACCAAAACUCUCAGAUUUUCUCAGCAUCCAGAACAAAGACUGCCUUGUGCAUGGGGGAACUUUCUGGGCUUGUGAAGGACAGCGCAGGCGUUGGGGCCAUGAUUACUGCAGGACACUUAGCUUGCCUCAGCCCUCCUUCUGCUGGGAAGCAGCGCAGGCUAGCUCUCUUGGGCGCUUUGUGCCUCUGGCAAUGCUGACCUUUUUGGUCCUUGAAACCCUUCUGUGGAAUGUCUGCCUCAGGGAUCUUGUGUUACCUUCUCUCUACUCUGCCUUCUUAGUCCUUGAUGUGAACUGUUUCUUUAUUUAAAAAAAAAAAUAGGGCUGGAGAGAUGGCUCAGCGGGCAAGGGCACUGGCUGCUCUUCCAGAGGUUCCAAGUUCAAUUCCCCAACAACCAUAUGGUAGUUCACAACAAUCUGUAAUGAGAUCUGAAGCCCUCUUCUAGUGUGUCUGAAAACAGCUACAGUGUACUCGUGUAAAUAUAAUAAUAAAGAAACCUUUAAAAAUAAUUUGUUGACAAUUUCAUAUAUGCACACAACACAUUUUCUCCUUCCUCUAGAUGACAUUUCUGCUCCAAUCUUUCUUACUCAGGGAAGUCGCCCUGUCCUCCCUCCCCGUAAGCUGUUCGGUGUUAUAUUAUGCUGACUGUUGUCUGUGACCUGCUCUAUACUGGGAACUCAAUGUGUGGGUCUUUGCCUAGUUUACUGCAACACUUAAAGCUGGUGAGCACUUGAAACCGUCCGUUUAACAAAUGAAUUAAUCAAGUUUAAUCUUACCUCAGGAACCUAAUGAUUUUGCAUUUGCAAUAUAUGAACAACAAUUUCCUUAAAUCAGGUUGACAAAGGAUCUGAGGUAAUUUUAUGUAAGCACCAGCAUUUGGGGGAAAUGGGACUACUUUCAUUUUUUACUUCAAGCAAGUUCUUCUUCUCUAAGUAUGAUGUAAUAUUUUUCCCUCACAGGCAGGAACUCAUUUCUCAAAAGAGAAAAGAGAAGUAUCAAUACCUCGGAGCUCAAAGCUGGGAGACAGAGGUGCCCGCAUUGGGUGAGCGGGGGACAAGAAUGCCAACCAUGUUGAGAGGACUCUGUUCUCUCAACCAGGUCAGUCCAGGAUUCUGUAAGCAAAGUAUGCUGAGAUGUGGUUCUGGACCUAUUAAAAAGCCUUUACUGUUUUGGUUGGUAUCAUUACAUAAUAAAAUUCAUAGGCUUCUUGUUAUAUAAUGUGCAUUCCUUGUUGACCAAGCACUAACCACUGUUUAAAAAUUCCCUCCCGUGUAACAGUGUCCACAUACUGAAUCAGGUGAACUUUGUCAUACAUGGAGGAAGCGAACAAGUAGUUAUGACUUCUUCCAGGAUUUGGUCUAAAGAGUCUUAGUCCUAGCUGAGACCAAAGCUACAAAUUAAGUAUUGGGCUGACUCUUACUACUGACAAAAGACAAACAUAGGAUGAACGUAGCAGAGAGUAGUUUUUAGAUCAUGAAUCUCUAGAAAUCUAGUGGAGGCUGAGAGGGGAGGUGACCGUGACUCUCACCACUAACCAAGAAACUGCCUGCCGGGGUUGGGGAUUUGGCUCAGUGGUAGAGCGCUUGCCUAGAAAGCGCAAGGCCCUGGGUUCAGUCCCCAGCUCCAAAAAAAAAAAAAAAAAAAAAAAAGAAA